GUCUGCGGUGGGGCGCUCGGGGCGGAAGCUCAGAGCCCAGGCUUCUGGGCACUGUGGAUUAGGGGCGGGUGCAGUCCUCGGGACUACGACAGGCCAACCGGGAGAACAGAGCCCAGGCUCCCCGGUGCAGAGAAGCGUCCGCAGUCCCGUGGGCGAGGGGCGAAGCCCCCCCCCCCCCGCCCCGAAGCCAGGCGGCGCGGGAGCGGAGGACGUCUGCAGCCAGCCAGCCCCGGUGCGCGGGAGACUGCGGGGCGGGCACAGCCGGUCGCAGGGCCCCGCUGCCAGUCCCAGGUUGGGAACCCGGGCUCUGCGUGACUCGGACGGGAACGAAGUCCCUCGCGGGAUUUAACGUGCCCCUCACGCGGUUAGUUCCCGUUAGGUCACUCGCUGUUAGCUGUAUCUAGCCCGGCUGCGGGAGGCCAAGUCGCGCUGGCUCUUUGCGGGAUCCUGGGCGUUGUUUAUCUAACAAAAUACGACAACUUCUUGACCGGAAAGGAGCCUCACAGCGUGGCAGGAGAGCGUCUUCAACUACAGAGAGACAAGCUGCCCAACACAGGCGUUAUGACAGGCCCCAGGACUCAGAUCUCGGCUUGUCAGGACCAGCGGCUGUCAGGGUCGAGCUGACGGUGGAGCUGAAGGGACCUCUUGUCUAGUUCACAGUAGCCCGGCCCUGCGUCUCCCAUCUGACCUUCAUCCUGCCCUUCUGAUUGCUUAGGGCAAAUAUGUGAUCAUGAAGCUCGGAGGCUUUCGGUCAUGAUGCCCUGUCUUUAUCAAAACACUGUCACCGGGCGCCUGGGUGGCUCAGGUCAUGACCCCGGAGCCUGGGGAUGGAGUCCCCCAUUGGGCUCCCAGCUGCACAGGGAGUCUGCUUCUCCCUCUGACCUUCUUUCCUCUCAUGCUGUUUCUCAAAUUAGUAAAUAAAAAUCUUAAAAAACAAAAAACAAAAAAACACUGUCACCGUCAGCCCACCCCUCUGAACUUGCAAGCCCCCAAAGGAGUACAAAAUCCUGGGUGGUGUGAAAUCUAGAACCACUGAGGAUAUCCCCAGAAUUGUGCACAAACGUGAGAACAGUUAAGACACAAUUUCACCAUCACUUCUGCCUAUAUCCAACUGGCCUCGGCUCAUUCACAUGGUCUCAAAAUAAGUGUAAGAAGAGCUGAGACAUGCUGUCCUCCCGGGAGUCCAAACAGGGAAAAUGCGAUUGGUAAGCAUCCAGCCACCGUAGGUCACAAUCCGUCAAUUUGGUCAUCAGAUAUGUAUUCUAUUAUUUCUCCUAUGGAUUCUACACUGUCACUUUUUUUUUGUUCCAACAACUCAAACCCCAUCUAAUUCCUGAGCCCAUCUCACAGUUACAAUCUCUAGUGUGUCAUUCAAAUACUAGUCUUUAACAACAGGAAACUAUCAACACAAAGUAAGUUGCUUCCACUCGUUUCCGGUUUACAGUGGGUCAAGAACACAUUGAACAACACAGUGAAGGUGCCAAAAAACAAUCGUCCACAAAGAUUUCGAUACUCCACAAAACAGUAUUUUUGAAGAAAGAGCAGGAAAUAAGACAAUAUGAGGCCAAAAAUGAAAAAUAUAAUAGAAACCUAAGCCAUACAAAAUGAAUCCUGAAGUUUAAAGUCAAAGGAAAGUGAUCCCUGGUAAAAGGUCUGCACUGACAGAAGGAAUGAAGAUCCAAGAGAGAUGCAUCUGUGGAUUAAUAAAAUUAUUUGCUAUCUAUAAA